UAUAUCAGCACAGAGGGCCCGAGAGGAAAAAUACCCCAGGUCGGAAUUCAGCCUUGGCAACUCAGCAUCCGAUCUUGGUCUAUUGAGUUUGCAGGUUCCUAUAAAAGCCUGCCAUCUAGUAUCAAAAUUUUGUAGUUUUUCCUUAUUACUUAACUCAAGUCUGCCACCAACUUCCAAAGCAAAAAGUCGAAUUUAACAAGUGCUGUCUUAGCAGACAUUUCCGUCACAGUUUAUUUGCACAAGUUAAUAUGCUGAUUCGUAAACCUAGAGGUUCAUUUGGUCCAAUUGGUGCUGGACUUGUACUUCUCCUUGGUGCAGCCUCUGGAUCCUAUAUUUGGGGACCGAGCAUACAGAAUUACUUGAACACAGACCCAGAAAUUUUAGCAUAUAGAAAAAAAGCUAAGUUAGAAAGAGAGCUUGAAACAACAGCUCAGAAAACCAAAUAAUCUUAAAAACAAUCGUAGCCGCCAUUUUGCUUUCUUCUUUACCUAUCAGACGAAAGGGAUAUCUUGUUACAGUCUCUCACCAACAAGCAGGUAAUG